rnacentral:rRNA from 1 species
UACAGAGGUCUCAAGCGUUGUUCGGAUUCAUUGGGCGUAAAGGGUGCGUAGGCGGCGCCGUAAGUCAGGUGUGAAAUUUCCGGGAGCUUAACUCCGAAACUGCAUUUGAUACUGCGGUGCUUGAGGACUGGAGAGGAGACUGGAAGUUUAACGGUGUAGCAGUGAAAUGCGUAGAGAUCGUGAAGGAAGACCAGUGGCGAAGGC